UACGGAGGGUGCGAGCGUUGUUCGGAAUCACUGGGCGUAAAGGGCGUGUAGGCGGUCCGCUAAGUCUGAUGUGAAAGCCCGGGGCUCACCCCCGGAAGUGCAUUGGAAACUGGCGGACUCGAGUCCCGGAGAGGAGAGUGGAAUUCCUGGUGUAGCGGUGAAAUGCGUAGAUAUCAGGAGGAACACCGGUGGCGAAGGCGGCUCUCUGGGCAGUAACUGACGCUGAGGAGCGAAAGCGUGGGGAGCGAACAGG
rnacentral:rRNA from 1 species